CAAAUUUAAAAUGGUCGGACGAAAUCCCAUUAUUCUACCUUUGGUAAUUUCAAUUUUAAACAAAUUUUGAAGAAAUACUAGUCGUAUAUCUGGGAAAGGUUUGGGGAAGGGUUAGUGUUAGUGUUAGGGUUUGGCAUGGCGAGUUAGAGUGCAAACUUUCAGUUAUUGACAUGUUUUAAAUUUCGUUGUUAAAUUAAAUAGCGAUAAAUUUUUAAAUUGGAAUCCAAAAUGAGAAUAACAACACUAUUCCCAUCUAUAUAACUGUCUAUUAUUUCUUUUUACUCGGCGGAAAAGUGGGGUAGGCAGCCCUUACGCCUGGUCUGCGGUCUCUGGAUAUAAAGCAGGUACAUUAUUUUACAUAGGUCAAGUCACUGGCAAUAAAAGGAAGGCAUUGUUUCGCCUAAGUGAAAUCCAUUAUAAAUGAUCUAACGACAAGGGUUCCUUCUCUCGUGUGCCCCCUUUCACGCUUUCGCAAUUGAUGUUGUGCAUGGUAUGGAUAUAUAGUUGAUGAUGGGUUAAUUAAGUUAUUUUAAUGAUGGCUUUUUUAUAAUAAUUUCUACACACCUAUUACACUCACCUUGCAACAGUAGCAACAUAAUGACUGCUCUGCUGCACUCUAAAUACCCGAGUGUGCUACAACAUCAGAAUGGUGCGAUCAUUGCAGCUUCGUAUUCAACGUAAAUGCUAAAAACCAUUGUUGUGUUCGGAAAACACCAAAAUUACAUCCAAUAAGUGCAUUAAAACAGCUAUAACACUCAUUGGGUGUACAGAUAUCACGACUGAUAGCGUAUUUGGUGUUUCCCUAACACACAAAUGGCAAAAAAAACAUUCACACUAAAUCGGUCUCUACAGAGAUGCAAUGCAUGAUUACAUGAUCAUUCUGUUGUUCUAGCAACACCCAGAAAUUUGUAGUGCAGAAAUUAGCCAAAAGUGAAUGAAAUGUAAGCAAAAAAUUUAGUAAAGUUUGCAGCGAAAAAAGUACGGUAAAAUGUUGGAAAUUUAAAUUCCUCAAUAUUUGGGUCAAGUUUGGGUCAAUAUUUGUGUCAAAGUGUCGGGUCAAAAGACAAUAAGUGGUCAAGACAUAGCUACAUAGUUUGAAUAUUGAUAUAAUAAUAUUCAGCCCAUGCAGCAAAUACUCUGUUUUCGUCACAUAAAUGGAUG